rnacentral:rRNA from 1 species
GUAGUUGACUCCGUGGACUACAGAACGACGCUGGCGGCAGGCUUAACACAUGCAAGUCGAACGCCCCGCAAGGGGAGUGGCAGACGGGUGAGUAACGCGUGGGAAUCUACCCAUCUCUACGGAAUAACUCAGGGAAACUUGUGCUAAUACCGUAUACGCCCUUCGGGGGAAAGAUUUAUCGGAGAUGGAUGGGCCCGCGUUGGAUUAGCUAGUUGGUGGGGUAAAGGCCUACCAAGGCGACGAUCCAUAGCUGGUCUGAGAGGAUGAUCAGCCACAUUGGGACUGAGACACGGCCCAAACUCCUACGGGAGGCGGCAGUGGGGAAUAUUGGACAAUGGGCGCAAGCCUGAUCCAGCCAUGCCGCGUGAGUGAUGAAGGCCCUAGGGUUGUAAAGCUCUUUCACCGGUGAAGAUAAUGACGGUAACCGGAGAAGAAGCCCCGGCUAACUUCGUG